rnacentral:rRNA from 1 species
CCUACGGGAGGCAGCAGUGAGGAAUAUUGGUCAAUGGGCGUAAGCCUGAACCAGCCAAGUCGUGUGAGGGAUGAAGGUUCUAUGGAUCGUAAACCUCUUUUAUAAGGGAAUAAAGUGUGGGACGUGUCCUGUUUUGUAUGUACCUUAUGAAUAAGGAUCGGCUAACUCCGUGCCAGCAGCCGCGGUAAUACGGAGGAUCCGAGCGUUAUCCGGAUUUAUUGGGUUUAAAGGGUGCGUAGGCGGCCUUUUAAGUCAGCGGUGAAAGUCUGUGGCUCAACCAUAGAAUUGCCGUUGAAACUGGGAGGCUUGAGUAUGUUUGAGGCAGGCGGAAUGCGUGGUGUAGCGGUGAAAUGCUUAGAUAUCACGCAGAACCCCGAGUGCGAAGGCAGCCUGCCAAGCCAUGACUGACGCUGAUGCACGAAAGCGUGGGGAUCAAACAGGAUUAGAUACCCCAGUAGUC